UCCCUGGUGGUCCAGGGGUCAGGACUCCGUUCUUUCACUGCUGUGGGCCCAGGUUCAAUUCCAGGUCAGGGAA